rnacentral:rRNA from 1 species
CGCGGCCUAUCAGCUUGUUGGUAGGGUAACGGCCUACCAAGGCGACGAUGCGUAGCCGACCUGAGGGGGUGAUCGGCCACACUGGGACUGAGACACGGCCCAGACUCCUACGGGAGGCAGCAGUGGGGAAUAUUGCACAAUGGGCGAAAGCCUGAUGCAGCGACGCCGCGUGAGGGAUGACGGCCUUCGGGUUGUAAACCUCUUUCAGCAGGGAAGAAGCGAAAGUGACGGUACCUGCAGAAGAAGCGCCGGCUAACUACGUGCCAGCAGCCGCGGUAAUACGUAGGGCGCAAGCGUUGUCCGGAAUUAUUGGGCGUAAAGAGCUCGUAGGCGGCUUGUCACGUCGGUUGUGAAAGCCCGGGGCUUAACCCCGGGUCUGCAGUCGAUACGGGCAGGCUAGAGUUCGGUAGGGGAGAUCGGAAUUCCUGGUGUAGCGGUGAAAUGCGCAGAUAUCAGGAGGAACACCGGUGGCGAAGGCGGAUCUCUGGGCCGAUACUGACGCUGAGGAGCGAAAGCGUGGGGAGCGAACAGGAUUAGAUACCCUGGUAGUCCACGCCGUAAACGGUGGGCACUAGGUGUGGGCAACAUUCCACGUUGUCCGUGCCGCAGCUAACGCAUUAAGUGCCCCGCC